rnacentral:rRNA from 1 species
UAAUAUCUGGGAAACUGCCCGAUGGAGGGGGAUAACUACUGGAAACGGUAGCUAAUACCGCAUAACGUCGCAAGACCAAAGAGGGGGACCUUCGGGCCUCUUGCCAUCGGAUGUGCCCAGAUGGGAUUAGCUAGUUGGUGAGGUAACGGCUCACCAAGGCGACGAUCCCUAGCUGGUCUGAGAGGAUGACCAGCCACACUGGAACUGAGACACGGUCCAGACUCCUACGGGAGGCAGCAGUGGGGAAUAUUGCACAAUGGGCGCAAGCCUGAUGCAGCCAUGCCGCGUGU